UCUUCCGCAAUGGACGAAAGUCUGACGGAGCAACGCCGCGUGAGUGAAGAAGGUUUUCGGAUCGUAAAACUCUGUUGUCGGAGAAGAACAAGUAGGAGAGUAACUGUUCCUACCUUGACGGUACCCGACCAGAAAGCCACGGCUAACUACGUGCCAGCAGCCGCGGUAAUACGUAGGUGGCAAGCGUUGUCCGGAUUUAUUGGGCGUAAAGCGAGCGCAGGUGGUUUCUUAAGUCUGAUGUGAAAGCCCACGGCUCAACCGUGGAAGGUCAUUGGAAACUGGGGAACUUGAAUGCAGAAGAGGAGAGUGGAAUUCCAUGUGUAGAGGUGAAAUGCGUAGAUAUAUGGAGGAACACCAGUGGCGAAGGCGACUCUCUGGUCUGUUAUUGACACUGAGGCUCGAAAGCGUGGGGAGCAAACAGG
rnacentral:rRNA from 1 species